UUUUGUAGUUGGUGGUAUGAUAGUCAAUGUUGUCGUGUUCCGCCAGCUGCUGCGCCGGCGUUGGCAGCGCACAGCCGCUACCAGCUGACACGCCGACCGGUGCGCGGCGCGCGUGCGCCGGGCGCCGACGGCCGUCGUCUGGCAGCAACAGCGCUGCCAGUGACUCGCGCUGCUGCUGCAGAAACUGGACAAGGAUCGUAGAAUCCUGGCGUGUUUUUGUAACGUCCAUUAGAGUGAUUUAGACGCAGCGUGUAGAAAGGACUCGUUUAUUGACGUGUGACUUUCUGACAGCUCAGUCACCUGUUGACGGCGGCGCACAGCGUCACCUACCCGCCCUACAGCCGGCCCAGCAGGCGGACGGAGAGGCCCGCCCGGGCCCAGUGCCGCACGGAGAGGCGGCGGCGCUGGAGGCCAACACCCG
rnacentral:lncRNA from 1 species